rnacentral:rRNA from 1 species
CUACGGGUUGCAGCAGUGGGGAAUAUUGCACAAUGGAGGAAACUCUGAUGCAGCAACGCCGCGUGGAGGAUGACACUUUUCGGAGCGUAAACUCCUUUUAUAUAGGAAGAAGAUGACGGUACUAUAUGAAUAAGCGCCGGCUAACUCCGUGCCAGCAGCCGCGGUAAUACGGAGGGCACAAGCGUUACUCGGAAUCACUGGGCGUAAAGAGAGUGUAGGCGGAUUAAAAAGUCAGAAGUGAAAUCCUAUAGCUUAACUAUAGAACUGCUUCUGAAACUCUUAAUCUAGAAUGUGGGAGAGGUAGAUGGAAUUUCUGGUGUAGGGGUACAAUCCGUAGAGAUCAGAAGGAAUACCGAUUGCGAAGGCGAUCUACUAGAACAUUAUUGACGCUGAGACGCGAAAGCGUGGGGAGCAAACAGGAUUAGAACCCUAGUAGUC